rnacentral:rRNA from 1 species
GACGAACGCUGGCGGCACGCCUAGCACAUGCAAGUCGAACGGACGAGAAAGAGCUUGCUCUUUCGAGUUAGUGGCGGACGGGUGAGUAACACGUGAGCAACCUGCCUCUGAGAGUGGAAUAACGUACUGAAAAGGACGCUAAUACCGCAUAACAUAUAUUUGCCGCAUGACAGAUAUAUCAAAGAUUUAUCGCUCAGAGAUGGGCUCGCGUCUGAUUAGCUAGAUGGUGAGGUAACGGCCCACCAUGGCAACGAUCAGUAGCCGGACUGAGAGGUUGAACGGCCACAUUGGGACUGAGACACGGCCCAG